rnacentral:lncRNA from 1 species
CCUUGGGCUCCUCUGGGCUGUGACUGUUUCUCGGCUGUUCUUUUUUCUCAUGACAGUUUUGAGGAGCCCUGGUUGGGCGUUCGAUGGAGUAUCCCUCAAUUAGGAAGUUUCCAGUAUUUCUCUCAUAAUUAGACUAGGGGGUUUGGGAUUUGGGGAGGAUGACCACAGAAGAAAGUGCUAUUUUCAUUGCAUCAUAUCAAGGGUACAUACAAUCACCAUGAUACACCACAGCGUGUACUGACCUUCAUCACCUGGCUGAAUUCAGGGAGUGUUCUUCAGGCUUAUCCACUGUGAAAUUACUCUUUCCCUUUUCCCAUACUGUUCUCAUUAAAAGAAUUGGGGUCACAGAAAUCUGCCCACAGAAAAGUGUUUUUAGCUGGAUCAGGAAGUUUCAAAAUGAGGGAGAAAGAAGCCCCUACCAUGAACAUUGUGGGGUCUGUGCCCAGCAAACCUCCUUAUUGCUGGGGAGAGAGCCUGUUUAUGGGAAGGGAACCUAGCCCCAGAUUUUUAUUACAAUAACUUGGCAUUCCACUUUAUAGGUCACCAUUGUUUUAAUUUUGUCAACAUGAGUGUGUCUCCAAGAGUUUGGUGGUUCUUGAAUACUGUAAGAAUUUAGUUUUCAGACUUGAAUUUCUGAGGAUAGCACUGUGGAAUUACAGAUUAUCCUCAUGAGGGGUGGAUGUUCUUGGGAUGCAUUUUCAGCACCACUAGAACAGGUCUGUGAAAACAUGGCCAAGGAGGAGCUUGCCUUCAUUUUUCUCACAGAACACAGCACCCAGAGUCCUCGGGGGCCAAGUGUCUGUCAGAAGGAAGAUGCUGGGUGAGGUCAUGCUGCCUGUAAAGCUGUCUCAGGUUCCAGGGACUUCAGCAGAUGGUGACGUGGACAGAAAGAAGACUGUGGCAGUGCUGAGAGACACAGGUGUGCUUAGUAAAUAUUUGCUUACUGGAAACCUGUCACAGGUGCCAUGGGCUGCUUAGCUGAAAGCUGCCUGUCUUGUUCAAGAGCACAUAUGACCCCCAGGUCCUCACAGGAGGGCUGGGAUCAGGGAACUGCAUUCUGUAUCUCAAGGAAAGAGCAAGAACAAGUGUUGCCUGGUUAUAUCACAAGUACCAAUGUCCUGCUGAACUGCUGUGGGAGCCCAGUGGCAAGAAGACCUAAUUUCAUCUUGGGCAGGAUGGGGAGACUCCCAGGACACCAUCCAAGCUGCAUCCGGAAUGAUCAGGAGGCAUUUGACAGUAAGUGGGAGGGAAGGGUCUUACUCCAUGGAGUGGGCAGGUGUGCAGGCGGGAGGCUGAUGGAGUUCUUAG